AUUGAACGCUGGCGGCAGGCUUAACACAUGCAAGUCGAGCGGAGAUGAGGUGCUUGCACCUUAUCUUAGCGGCGGACGGGUGAGUAAUGCUUAGGAAUCUGCCUAUUAGUGGGGGGCAACAUUCCGAAAGGAAUGCUAAUACCGCAUACGUCCUACGGGAGAAAGCAGGGGAUCUUCGGACCUUGCGCUAAUAGAUGAGCCUAAGUCGGAUUAGCUAGUUGGUGGGGUAAAGGCCUACCAAGGCGACGAUCUGUAGCGGGUCUGAGAGGAUGAUCCGCCACACUGGGACUGAGACACGGCCCAGACUCCUACGGGAGGCAGCAGUGGGGAAUAUUGGACAAUGGGGGAACCCUGAUCCAGCCAUGCCGCGUGUGUGAAGAAGGCCUUAUGGUUGUAAAGCACUUUAAGCGAGGAGGAGGCUACUGAGACUAAUACUCUUGGAUAGUGGACGUUACUCGCAGAAUAAGCACCGGCUAACUCUGUGCCAGCAGCCGCCGUAAGAC
rnacentral:rRNA from 1 species